UCCCUGGUGGCUGAGAUGGUCAAGAAUCUGCCUGCUAUGCAGGAGAGCCAGGUUCGAUUCCUGGGUUGGAAA
rnacentral:tRNA from 1 species